rnacentral:rRNA from 1 species
GACGAACGCUGGCGGCGUGCUUAACACAUGCAAGUCGAACGAAGUGGCGAACGGGUGAGUAAUACGUGGGUAACCUGCCUUUCACAGGGGAAUAACACUGGGAAACCAGUGCUAAUACCGCAUAGUGAAAGAUGGCCUCGCGCCUGAUUAGCUAGUAGGUGAGGUAACGGCUCACCUAGGGGAUGAUCAGUAGCCGGACUGAAGGUUGAUCGGCCGCAUUGGGACUGAGAUACGGCCCAGACUCCUACGGGAGGCAGCAGUGGGGGAUAUUGCACAAUGGCGAAAGCCUGAUGCAGCGACGCCGCGUGGGGGAUGAAGGCUUUCGGGUUGUAAACCUCUUUCCAUCGAACAGGGUAGGUGGAGAAGAAGCGCCGGCUAACUACGUGCCAGCCGCCGCGGUAAUUC